UAUUUAUUCUUUGUUUGGUUGUUCUGUUUCAGGUUGCGAUUCAUCUUAUGGUUAACCAACUUCUUGGAUCUUUUUAUUUGUUGUUCAGGCACGAAAGGAAAUCAUAAGCAAGAUAAACAAGACGAUAGAGAAGCGGUUGCAGAACAAAGCAGCAUCAGAUACUGCUGGCGCUGGGAAUGGUGUACUUGGAAGAUUGCUUGAAGAAGAAAGCUUACCUCAGAUGAAACCACCGCGAAAACAUUGUGCAAAUGAGCAGGAAGAACAUGAUAGGCUCGCAGGUGGAAUGCUAACAUGGCAAGAUUACAAGACAAUGGACUUCACUCAAUGCGUAAUAGAUGAGACACUCAGGCUUGGGGGAAUUGCAAUCUGGCUAAUGAGAGAGGCGAAAGAAGAUGUCUCAUACCAAGGUUCGUGAUAGCGUCUUUGACUUUUGACAUAAGAAUCUGUUCUGUCCAUGCGUCGAUUGUUGGAAUUUUUGCCAUCAGCUGAUAGAUACUGUAUUUGAGCCUCUUGUGAUUAGAGGUAUGGAUUUGAAGUACAAGAGGAAUCCAUGUUAGUUUAAGCAUGGGGACAGGAGGGAUAGAACAUCUGCAGAUGUUCCAAAUUCAGAGGAAGAGGCUUAUUACUUGAUGAGGACAGCUUUUUUUGAAUCUGAAGUUGGUGAUGAACUUCCAUCUGAGUGUACUGCAGAAGAAUCAGAUUUUAGGGAAAAGUUAGAGGAUGCUGAAACUGCACUAUGUAUACUCAACGUGUCACAAGUACAACAAGGUCUCUGAAAUUUAUGUCGCACCAUUUGUUUUAAGUGUCGAAGACUGGUGUUCAAAAAAAAAAAAAAAAGAGAAAGUGUCGAAAACUUUGUUUUAUUUUGGUAUGCACUUCUCUAGACUUUGUUUUAUUUUUAUGUCGAACAAUAUAUGUAUGCACUUCUCUAGACUUUGUUUUCUCAUGUUAAUAAAUUUUAAUUCAUAAUUA